UACGGAGGGUGCGAGCGUUAGUCGGAAUCACUGGGCUUAAAGGGUGCGUAGGCGGCUCGCCAAGUGCUUUGUGAAAUCCCACAGCUCAACUGUGGAACAGCAGGGCAAACUGGCGAGCUUGAGGCAGGUAGGGGCCGGAAGAACAGUUGGUGGAGCGGUGAAAUGCGUAGAUAUCAACUGGAAUGCCGAUGGGGAAGCCGUCCGGCUGGGCCUGUCCUGACGCUGAGGCACGAAAGCGUGGGGAGCAAACAGG
rnacentral:rRNA from 1 species